ensembl:snRNA U2 U2 spliceosomal RNA
AUUGCUUCUUGGCCUUUUGGCCAAGAUCAAGUGCAAUAUCUGUUCUUAAUCAGCUUAAAAUUAUCUCUCCUUCC